UAGGGAAUCUUCGGCAAUGGACGAAAGUCUGACCGAGCAACGCCGCGUGAGUGAAGAAGGUUUUCGGAUCGUAAAACUCUGUUGUUAGAGAAGAACAAGGACGUUAGUAACUGAACGUCCCCUGACGGUAUCUAACCAGAAAGCCACGGCUAACUACGUGCCAGCAGCCGCGGUAAUACGUAGGUGGCAAGCGUUUUCCGGAUUUAUUGGGCGUAAAGCGAGCGCAGGCGGUUUCUUAAGUCUGAUGUGAAAGCCCCCGGCUCAACCGGGGAGGGUCAUUGGAAACUGGGAGACUUGAGUGCGGAAGAGGAGAGUGGAAUUCCAUGUGUGGCGGUGAAAUGCGUAGAUAUAUGGAGGAACACCAGUGGCGAAGGCGGCUCUCUGGUCUGUAACUGACGCUGAGGCUCGAAAGCGUGGGGAGCAAACAGG
rnacentral:rRNA from 1 species